rnacentral:rRNA from 1 species
UACGGGGGGGGCAAGCGUUGUUCGGAAUUACUGGGCGUAAAGGGCUCGUAGGUGGCCAACUAAGUCAGACGUGAAAUCCCUCGGCUUAACCGGGGAACUGCGUCUGAUACUGGAUGGCUUGAGUUCGGGAGAGGGAUGCGGAAUUCCAGGUGUAGCGGUGAAAUGCGCAGAUAUCAGGAAGAACACCCGUGGCGAAGGCGGCUCUCUGGGACGGUACUGACGCUGAGACGCGAAAGCGUGGGGAGCGAACAGG